AUCCUUUUUCUAACUAAAGUCUGUCGACAAAUACUUCUUUUUAAUACAAAAAGUCUUUGUGUUUUUACUAGGUAGUUACCCGUGCGAUACACUGUUGCUGUUUUGUUUUUUUAAAAAAUAUAUAUUGUAUCCUAUUAUAAAAUAUAUUACAAUAUUAAAUACAUUUUAUUUACAUGUUUUAGGAUUAAUGGUCAAAUUAGUCACUGAAUUUGUAAGCGAAGUUGAUUUUAGUCCCUUUGCGGAAAAAUGACGUUUAGUAACGAUCAUUUUUACAAUUAUUGGCAGUUUUUUACCGUUACUAAACGUUAUUUUUCCUCAAAGAAACUAAAAUCAAACUCGCUUACAAACUCAAUAACUAUUGGACUAACGACCAUUAACCCUUAAUUUUAAUACAACGGAUUUUUUUUUAGAAGAAACCAUUAUAUUAAUUCUCUAAUGUUUAGGAAAAAUAAUUUCUACAAAAUGAAAAUAACUUAUAAUAGUUAAAAUCAUCUUUCUAUUUAAAUUUAAUGAAACAAAAUGAGAGAUACAUUGAGAGGAGUAAAUCAAAAUCGAAAUAGCAUCAGUAGCUCCGCCUGACACAAUUUCACACAUUUUCUUCAGGUGUUUUUUUUUCAUUUGUUUCUCCUUUUCUCCAUUUGUUCCUGCAUUUCUCGCUUUCUUCAUCAAAAUUAUGUUAGAAGUUUCACUUUUCAUCUCCCACCCCACUGUGAAAAUAAAGAAAUGUUUGAAUUGAUUUGAAGGGUUUUUAUGUCACUAAGUUCUUGGUUUGUCGUGUUAAGUAUGUUUGAUUAUGUUAUGCUCUAUUAUUAGUGUGUCAGACCAUGUUCAUUGUUUUCUAUGCGGUUUGACUCAAAUUCAUUUAUAUGAAAAUCAACAACAGCGUCACUCACAUGUUUCUUACAAGCUUGAAUUGAGAUUUAACUGGGGAAAUAAGUAUCCCAAGACAUUUGAAACAAAUAAAUAAAUUUGAAUGUAUCUAUGUUAUGUGAAACAAAGGUAACUUUUAAUAGUAAACCUGACUAAAAUUGCAUCCUGAUACUAUAAAUAUGACUCAAAAACAUUAAAUGAUGUUAAAGGCAAAGAUAGUUAACAAAUGCAGAGACCACAAUGUACACGAGUCUAGACAAGGCUAUUCUCUAUCAUGUCUGAUUUUAUAGUAUCACCAUUCCAUCAAAUUUCCCCAAGUAUUAUCUGUAUAGAACAAAUAGACUAUGAAUUUCCAAAGCAUGCACAACACGAGUACUAUAUCACAUUCAUGCCGGUGGAAAGAACCUCCACAAUGUUUGCUUAAUACAAAAACAGAGAAAACCAGAGCUUAAAACUAAUUUUCUGUGACAAUUGGAUCAGCUCUAAGAACUUGAAUCGGAGUCUCCUUAUUGAAUUUAAGGGAUUUGGCUUUCGUAAAGAAUCUGAAAAUUCUGUAGCAGAGCUGUCUUUGCUGUUCUUUAGACACUUUGGCUUCAAAGAAAUGUUAGAAAUUUCAGGGGCACUUAGUCAUCCCAAGACAACAUUUGAAAUAGGGCCACUUUCUUGGCCUAUUAUUGGUGUUCUGUUCAUGGAUUUUUAAAGGUGUUUCUUUGUUAAACAUGCAUAGAGAUUGGCAUGCCUUGGGGUGUAUCAUCAUUCCAUACACUGCCACCGUAAAAGUAGAGCAUCAUCAAGUUUGGGAAGAACUUAUGGCAUGGUUAGAGCAAACGUGAAGCCACUUCCGCAGUAAACUCUGAUUGAUGCAGCUUCAUUCAGAUCAUAUCCGAGACUUACUGUAUCAGGACUGAUCCUGUCACAAGUAUCUCCCAAGCCAAGUUGACCAUGCUCACCCCAACCCCGUGGCGGAGUAUGCUGCAAAUUUUGAGGAAUUGAUUAAGUUUUGUCCCCACUACAAUACUGCCGAAGCUGAGAGAUCUAAGUGUAACAAGUUUGUGAAUGGUUUGAGACCUGAGAUCAAGAAGGCUGUGGGAUAUCAACAGAUUAUCCGAUUUUCUGACCUGGUUAACAGGAGUAGGAUAUAUGAUGAGGAUAGCAGGGAAAGUGCUGCUCACUACAAGUCUUUGAAAGAGAAGAAAGAAAAGGGGCAAUUCAGAGGGAAACCGUAUGGGAAUCCUGCUGAUAAGGGUAAACAAGAAGCUGGUCAUGACAAGAAGCCGAGUGGGGGAGGAGCUCCUAAUCCGGUUAGGUGCUACAAGUGUGGUGUUGAAGGACGUCGUUCUCCUGAAUGUCCCAAUUCAGAAGCAACAUGAUUUAAGUGUGGCAAGCUGGGCCACAAAUCCUUUGAGUGCCUAGAAGGUAAAACUGUGGCAUGCUACAGAUGUGGAGAGCAAGGUCACAUCAGUACUAAUUGUGACAAACCCAAGAAGGAUCCUGCAAGGGGGAAGGUGUUUGCUUUAUCUGGUGCUGAGACUACUGUUGAGGAUAGACUAAUUCGAGGUAAUCAGGAGGAGUAGUCUAUAGCCUUUAUUUCGAGUUGGAGUCCUUGCUCUGAUACGUAGCACUUGGGGGGGGGAUGGACGCUUGUUUCGUUUCUGUUAUAUUUGUUGUUGAAUUAAGUUAUCAUUGAGGAAUUGUUCCUGUUAAGUUGUGAACAAGAUGCUAUGUUUUCUUUAAGUUUUAAAUACGUUAUAUCCGCUGUUUAUUUAUUGAUUUAGUGAACUAUUUUUAUUAUUAAAAAUUAAUUAUCUGC